AGACCUCAGGCCCCCAGUGCUCCCUCUUGUUUCUCCCCUCAUGUAACCACAGGACCCUCACACUGCUGCAGAGAGGCCAGAAUGCACACAGGAGGAGCUGCGUCACAGGAGCAGGCUGCAGGCUCUGGAGAGGGAGAACCACCAGCUGGCUGCUGGGAUCCAGAGGUGGAAGGGCAGAUCCCAGCAGAGACCCCAGG